AUCAGAUGGAUAUAUAGCUAUGCCUUCGAAGGCAUGGUCCUGUUUUGGCUUAAUGUAGACAAUUGCUGUAUUUCUUUUCUGUUUAUUUGCUGGAGACAUAUAGAAUGGUUAGAAUCUUUAGAUUCUGUGAAAUUUUUAUGCAAACAUCAAAUAGAUAUAGAGCUAUGCCUUCGCAGGCUCGGUUGGAUAGGAAAUGUAUCUUUGAUCUUUGAAGCUCACAUCAAUUUUCAUUUGUGUAAAUGUAUCAAACAGAGAGACUUGUUUUGAGCCAGUGAUGAAUAUCUCUGUACAAGACCCAUGUCAGCAGAGAAGGGAGGUCGUAAGCAUCCUCGAAGUGACAAUAUUUAGGGGAUGUUCAUGUCAUCAAUGAGAAAGUUGCUAAAAAACAAGAAGGAAUUGGAGCUGCCUUCAUCGUUUCAACGCAGCAGCAAGACAGUGGUAUUACUCCCUGACUUGCAAAUGUAGACAUUCAAGAGCAUGCGUUCUUGGAGGAAAGAUUGUUCCCUGAAGGUAGAUAAAUU